ACCCCAAACCGACACAGGUGGUCAGGUAGAGAAUACCAAGGCGCUUGAGAGAACUCGGGUGAAGGAACUAGGCAAAAUGGUGCCGUAACUUCGGGAGAAGGCACGCUGAUAUGUAGGUGAAGUCCCUUGCGGAUGUAGCUGAAAUCAGUCGAAGAUACCAGCUGGCUGCAACUGUUUAUUAAAAACACAGCACUGUGCAAACACGAAAGUGGACGUAUACGGUGUGACGCCUGCCCGGUGCCGGAAGGUUAAUUGAUGGGGUC
rnacentral:rRNA from 1 species